CUAACUCAGAUUUGUAUGGAGUUGGAAUGUUUGCCUGCGUUUGCCGCUGGGGCGCUGUUCCAACUCCAUACAAAUUUGAGUUA
rfam:Bombyx mori DNA, contig: Bm_scaf126_contig38735, strain: p50T/Dazao, build 2, whole genome shotgun sequence.